rnacentral:rRNA from 1 species
GUGGGGAAUCUUGCGCAAUGGGCGAAAGCCUGACGCAGCCAUGCCGCGUGAAUGAUGAAGGUCUUAGGAUUGUAAAAUUCUUUCACCGGGGACGAUAAUGACGGUACCCGGAGAAGAAGCUCCGGCUAACUUCGUGCCAGCAGCCGCGGUAAUACGAAGGGGGCUAGCGUUGCUCGGAAUUACUGGGCGUAAAGGGCGCGUAGGCGGACAGCUUAGUCAGAGGUGAAAGCCCAGGGCUCAACCUUGGAAUUGCCUUUGAUACUGGCUGUCUUGAAUUUGGGAGAGGUGAGUGGAACUCCGAGUGUAGAGGUGAAAUUCGUAGAUAUUCGGAAGAACACCAGUGGCGAAGGCGACUCACUGGCCCAAUACUGACGCUGAGGCGCGAAAGCGUGGGGAGCAAACAGGAUUAGAUACCCUUGUAGUCC